AGAGAUGAGACGCGGCUGAAGGAAGGUGUGAUGGCGGUCUUAUGGUCUCAUCUCCGAGUGAAGACGCUGAGGAAAGUCUACAUCACAGGAGACGUCACUGGAUGGACGAGAUAAGAAGUUUAAGGGUUGAGUCAGAUGGAGAAAAUCCAAAUCUUAUCAGGCGCACCCAGCGCAGCAAAACCCAGAAGAAUUUAUGGUCGGGAUAAUCGUGGACAGCAAGAUCACAGGAGCGAGUGGCCGGUCAGAGGCGGAGGACGCGUCCUGCUUUCUGGAACCUCAGACCGAUUAUGAUGGCAGAUAUUCUCGGAGCGAUAAUAAACAUGCAAAUAAUGGAACCAGUCACAUGGAAAUGGCGUCAAUUCAUACAAAAGUGAAGAUAUGAAAUUAUGGAAUUAUAAGUGUGUCCCAUACAAGGAGCAGCGUGGCGUCAGGAUCCACAUGUGGGUGACUGCCAAUUGCCAGCUGCACCCGGACUUAAACGAUGGAAACGCAGCAAUGGGGAUCCUGCGCACCCGCCUGUCCUCCCCAUCAGAAAAGAGUAAGGCUACUACUUUCUCACUGGCGUUCAGAGAUCCAGCGCUGCCUGAAUGCCCCCCGACCCCGUUAACUAUAAUGGGGAUCGGCAGAGAUCCAGUAGCAACCCAGCAAAUAUGCCAAGAACUGGCCGGACAAAUACCGCUGCCCAACAGCCUGCGCGCUAGUGUGAAGCUGGCCUAAUCACAAUUCAUGUAUAGGAAAGGGCAGUUUGUAGGACUUUCUCUAGGCUCCCGCGGUAGUCUGCCAUCUGCCUCAGGACCUCCCCUUACUCCGCACCAAGCUCAUCUGGAGCUCCGAGUAGCGGCUAUGGAGGGAGCGCCCGUGUGCUCAUUAGUGCUGGUUCCUUGUCUGCGUUUGGGUCACCCAUGAAGCUCCCGACACGUGAGACUCCGCUGCACCGGAUGGACGCUGCAACAUCGUUUCGUGAAUAGUAAAUUCGAGAGAGACUUCUAAAUGGAUUUGAAACCCUCAUCAAUCCUAGCGGUAUAUGGAGUGCGGGGAGAGUGGUUUACCAGGUCAUGACUGGCUGGUUGAAGAUGUCCUCUGCACCUACAGCCUUGUUUUCCCAUGGACUGUGUCCUCCAUUGGUCUUGCUUUGCCCCGCCACAUCACUGUAUGAAAAACCCACACGAAAACUCAAGUGCCAUAGAGAUUUGUAAUACUAGAUAACCCUUCAGCUCCCAUGUAUAACAAUGAAUAAACCAAGCCUAUAUUUUAUCUGCA